rnacentral:rRNA from 1 species
AGUCGUCAAGUCCAUCCCCUCAAGAUCCCACCAUCAAGCCUGCUGCCCCUGACACCCCCCAUCAACUCAUCGUCUACUCAGAUCACAAGAAUCUUGUCUACUUCAUGUCGUCUCCCAUACUUGAUUGCCGUCAAGCAAGAUGGGCCCUGUCCUUGUCCUGCUCCGAUUUUGUGAUCACAUACCGUGAAGGACGUCUUCAUGGGAAGCCUGAUCCCCUGUCUUGCCGCUCCUUCCUGUCGCCUAAAAAGGGGGUUGAGGCAACCAUCCAGCAAGAAUGAUUCAUUCUGGGUUCAAGCCGUCUUCAAGCCUCCACCCUGGUCACAUGCACUCUUAUUUAGACACCACAAAAGGUGGUAGUUCAUGCAGACAGCAGGACGGUGGCCAUAUGUGGUGCGUUCCAGACGGUCAGUGAAAAUCCGAGGGAGAGUUUCAUUUUCAUACCUAGUGGCACUCAUAACCACAACAGGUCUCCAAGGUGAACAGCCUCUAGUUGAUAGAACAAUGUAGAUAACGGAAGUCUGUAAAAUAGAUCCAUAACUUCAGGAAAAGGAUUGGCUCUAAGGGUUGGGUGCAUUCGGCCAUUGUUUAAAGCCUUGGAUCUGGCCUGGGACUACUCGAGUAGCAAGACAAGAGCGGAUCCAGGCCACAUCUGGGUGUGGCGGACUUUGGCAUGCUUCACGGCGUCUGGUGCACAGCUAAUAACCAACUUACAACUGGUACAGACAAAGGGAAUCUGACUGUCUGAUUACAACAUAGCAUUGCGAUGGUUAGAAAAUAAAGUUGACGCAAUGAGAUUUCUGCCCAAUGCUCUAAAUGUCAAAGUGAAGAAAUUCAACCAAGUGUGGGUAAACGGCUGGAGUAACUAUGACUCUCUUAAGGUAGCCAAAUGCCUUGUCAUCUAAUUAGUGAUGCCCAUGAAUCGAUUUACGAGAUUACCACUGUCCCUAUAUACUAUCUAGCAAAACCACAGCCAAGGUAACGGGCUUGAAAUAAUCAGCAGCGAAGGAAGACCCUGUCGAGCUUGACUCUAGUUUGACAUUGUGAAAAAAAUAGGGGGUGUAGAAUAAGUGGGAGCUUCGCCGCCGGUGAAAUACCACCACCCUUAUCAUUUUUAACGAUCAAGCAGGAUUGGCCUGCACCGGCCACCUUCUGGUAUUAAGGCACAUUGCCUGCUAGCCUGGGUUGAAAACAAUUGUCAGGUGGGGAGUUUGGCUGGGGCGCCACAUUUGUUCAAAUAGAACGCAGGUGUGCUAAGGGGAACUCAUCGAGAACAGAAAUCUCGAAUAGAACAAAAGGGUGCAAGUUCCCUUGAUUUUGAUUUUCAACGUGAAUACAAACCGUGAAAGUGUGGACUAUCGAUUCUUUAGUUGCUGGGUAUUUCAGCCUAGAGGUGUCAGAAAAGUUACCACAGGGAUACUUGGCUCGUGGCAGCGAAGUGUUCAUAGCGAUGUUGCAAUUUUUUCCUUCAAUGACGGCUCUUCCUAUGAUUGGGAAGCAGAAGUCUCAAAGCGUCAGAUUGUUCACCCGCCAAUAGGGAACGUGAGCUAGGUUUAGACCGUCGUGAGACAGGUUAGUUUUACCCUACUGAUGAAGGGUUUUUGCAGUAGUAAUUCAACCUAAAUGGCUUCGCAUGAUUGGUUUUUGCGAUUAGCUGAAAAGCUAGUGCCGCAACGCUACCAUGCGUCGGAUUAAGGCUGAACGCCUCUAAGUCGGAAUCUAUGCAAGAACGCAAUGACUUCU